rnacentral:tRNA from 1 species
GUCCCUGUAACGCAAUGAUAGCCCGUUGGACUUCUAAUCCAAAGGUCGUAGGUUCGAAUCCCACCUGGGAUG